UACGUAGGGUGCAAGCGUUAAUCGGAAUUACUGGGCGUAAAGCGUGCGCAGGCGGUUCUGUAAGUCUGUCGUGAAAUCCCCGGGCUCAACCUGGGAAUGGCAUUUGGGACUGCAAGGCUUGAGUGCGGCAGAGGAGACUGGAAUUCCUGGUGUAGCAGUGAAAUGCGUAGAUAUCAGGAGGAAUACCGAUGGCGAAGGCAGGUCUCUGGGCUGACACUGACGCUCAUGCACGAAAGCGUGGGGAGCAAACAGG
rnacentral:rRNA from 1 species